rnacentral:rRNA from 1 species
AAGCCAGACUCCUACGGGAGGCAGCAGUGAGGAAUAUUGGUCAAUGGGCGAGAGCCUGAACCAGCCAAGUCGCGUGAGGGAAGACGGUCCUAUGGAUUGUAAACCUCUUUUGCCGGGGAGCAAAAAGCGGUACGUGUACCGCAUCGAGAGUACCCGGAGAAAAAGCAUCGGCUAACUCCGUGCCAGCAGCCGCGGUAAUACGGAGGAUGCGAGCGUUAUCCGGAUUUAUUGGGUUUAAAGGGUGCGUAGGCGGGAUGCCAAGUCAGCGGUAAAAAUGCGGUGCUCAACGCCGUCGAGCCGUUGAAACUGGUCUUCUUGAGUGAGCGAGAAGUAUGCGGAAUGCGUGGUGUAGCGGUGAAAUGCAUAGAUAUCACGCAGAACUCCGAUUGCGAAGGUAGCAUACCGGCGCUCAACUGACGCUGAGGCACGAAAGCGUGGGGAUCGAACAGGAUUAGAUACCCGCGUA